CCUCCGGGAGGCUGCAGUGGGGAAUAUUGGACAAUGGGCGCAAGCCUGAUCCAGCCAUGCCGCGUGUGUGAAGAAGGCCUUUUGGUUGUAAAGCACUUUAAGCGAGGAGGAGGCUACUUGGAUUAAUACUCUAGGAUAGUGGACGUUACUCGCAGAAUAAGCACCGGCUAACUCUGUGCCAGCAGCCGCGGUAAUACAGAGGGUGCGAGCGUUAAUCGGAUUUACUGGGCGUAAAGCGUGCGUAGGCGGUUCCUUAAGUCGAGGGUAAAAUCCCUGGGCUAAACUAAGGAAUGGCAUCGGAAACUGGAAGCUAGAGUAUGGGAGAGGAUGGUAGAAUUCCAGGUGUAGCGGUGAAAUGCGUAGAGAUCUGGAGGAAUACCGAUGGCGAAGGCAGCCAUCUGGCCUAAUACUGACGCUGAGGUACGAAAGCAUGGGGAGCAAACAGGAUUAGAUACCCCGGUAGUC
rnacentral:rRNA from 1 species